AAGUUCUCUGAUUUCGCACAGCUUGGGAGGUUCACUCUUCGUACUGAAGGCAAGACAGUGGCAGUCGGGAACGUCAUCGAUUUACCUGUAAUAGCAAGAGCUUGAACAUUUUUGGGAAUAGGCAACUGAGGGACCUGUGUAAACAAUCUGAGUGGCAACUGCAAGAGUGAGUAUCACUGUUGCACUGCCUGCAAGUGCAUCUUGUUGGGCUGAUCAGAAAUGGAGAGGUAUCUGUUGCCUGAGUGAUGCACAGAGAUUGCGUCUUUCCCAGAGUACUGAUGCAUCUGAGUGUUAAAGGGUAUUAAGCCAUAUGGCUGAUUCAUACCAUACCAUAUCUUAAACAAAAUCAAAUUGUUCUGUCAAAGUUCACCAAAUAUAGGUUUUCUUUUCAUUUGGGUGGAAUUUUGUGCUUCUGUCUCCUCUAGGAGUAUUUUCCUAUACAAUUUUGCAGUAAAUUGCGUAUCCACUAAUGUUGAUAGACGGUGUUAAUAAAAUCUCUCUCUCUGGGCACAUUUGCAUGCACAUGCACACCCAUAGAAUCUGAAAGAAAUAUCACCAUGUUGUUCUACCAUUGGCUAACAAUGAUUUAUCAUAACUACGGAAAUU